ensembl:lncRNA
UACUUUUACCAGUCAAUAGGAGGAAGGUAAUUUAGAACCUGUGGAGCAGUGAGGAGGGAGAAUAAUGGAAUAGAGUCAUGGUUUUAAAUGGUAAAUAUUAAAUUAUGUUUCCUAUGUAUCCUGUCUGUUACCCAAGCAAAGCUGUCAGCUGGCUUGCACAUGAGGAUAAUGCAAUGUAGUGAUAAUUGGAAACUCCUAUUGCAGAAGCAAAUGUUGGAGAAGACCUGCUCUCAUCACUUUCACGAGAUGACAUCAAAGAUCUGUUUCCUGGUCCUGAACAUUGCCUCAGGCGUCGGGCUCUAUGGCUUGCAGUGCACAAAUGUGAAGAAUGGAACAUGCAGCAGCUGUGUUCAGAGCCCUUCCCAUGCUUUUCCCUUCCAGCACAGUACCACCUAAGAAGCUGGGCAUCUGUAGUGAGGCUUUUUUCCAUGUCCUAAAGACUUCAGAAGACCCUGAAGGCUACCUGCGUCAGCGACCCCUGGCUUGUCCAGUUCUGCUUGUCUCUGAAGGCAACUGCAUGAUAGCUGUUAGAACCACACCGGUGAGCACUUUUGACCGGAAGGAUCUUAAUGAGGGACUGCUCUAUCUGAUGGCAUAUUACUAUGCCCUCCACCUCACAUAUCCAUAGUGCAUAGUGUCUGUCUUGCAAACUGAAAUACUCAAAGACUCCAUCCAUGACCGAGAUUCAACCCCCUCUUACAAGAAGGCGCUUGGUGAGUGGAAGUCAUUCAUUGAGUGAGUCUCCCAGAUGAGAGACUCCAUCUGCCUUGUUUAUCAGACUCAGUGUUAGUCAGUGAGGUUGUUUUUUUUUCUAUAGAAAAGUUGUUCAAAUGUAAAACACAUGUUUGUUUGUGUGGUCGUUAAACGUGUUCUUCUAAAAUGUUAUUUUUGUAAUAUAGGAUUUGAAAUAGUGAUUGUUUUAAGCUUCAGCAAAAUUUAUUUUUGAUACCAGCCAAGAGUGUGUUAUACUGUUAUUAUUCAUUUUAAGAGUAUCUGGAAUAUGCACUUCUUAUAUUGGCCAUGUUACACAGUACCCUGCUGAAAUGUAUAAUUUUAGGCAUGAUUCUCCUGGAACAGACCUCAGUGAGUUACUGACCCAUUGCUGUGUCAAUAAAAGCG